AAGGAAUUCUGGGCAUUGUAGUUUUCCCCUCAGAGUUACAAUUCCUAGCAACCCUUAGAAAACUACAGUGCCCAGAAUUCUU